AAAAGAGAAAGAAAAAGAAAAGAGAAAGAGCAAGAGAAAGAGAAAAAAAAAGUGCCUGGUACUGCCGUCCUCGCCUUCCCCUGUGCACGAGUUGCUCUUGUUAGUUGUUGUUGUUCUUCUUCUUCUUGUUCUCAUUCUCAUCUUGCUCUUCAAUUUGUGA
rnacentral:ribozyme from 1 species